CCUACGGGAGGCUGCAGUGGGGAAUAUUGGACAAUGGGGGGAACCCUGAUCCAGCGACGCCGCGUGAGUGAAGAAGUAUUUCGGUAUGUAAAGCUCUAUCAGCAGGGAAGAAAAUGACGGUACCUGACUAAGAAGCCCCGGCUAACUACGUGCCAGCAGCCGCGGUAAUACGUAGGGGGCCAGCGUUAUCCGGAUUUACUGGGUGUAAAGGGAGCGUAGACGGCAGCGCAAGUCUGGAGUGAAAGGCCGGGGCCCAACCCCGGAACUGCUCUGGAAACUGUGAAGCUGGAGUGCAGGAGAGGUAAGCGGAAUUCCUGGUGUAGCGGUGAAAUGCGUAGAUAUCAGGAGGAACACCGGCGGCGAAGGCAGCUUACUGGACUGUAACUGACGUUGAGGCUCGAAGGCGUGGGGAGCAAACAGGAUUAGAUACCCUAGUAGUC
rnacentral:rRNA from 1 species